UGGGUAGAAGAAUUAUAUCCGAUCUUAUGGGCAUGUCGAACGACUCUUCGCAUACCGACUGAGGAAUCCUCCUUCAACUUAGCUUAUGGGAUAAAAGCAAUGAUACUGUUUGAGAUUGAAUUGCCAUCAACAAGAGUGGAGCAAUAUAGUGAGCCGAGCAACUCCGAAUGUCGGAGAGCCGACUUAUAUCUCCUUCCAGAACUCCGACAGCAAGCUCAAGUUCGGAUGGCUGUAUAGCGACAAAGGAUAGCUC
rnacentral:lncRNA from 1 species